rnacentral:rRNA from 1 species
CCUACGGGAGGCAGCAGUAAGGAAUCUUGCGCAAUGGGCGAAAGCCUGACGCAGCGACGCCGCGUGGGCGAUGAAGGCCUUCGGGUUGUAAAGCCCUUUUCUGGGGGACGAGGAAGGACGGUACCCCAGGAAUAAGUCACGGCUAACUACGUGCCAGCAGCCGCGGUAAAACGUAGGUGGCAAGCGUUAUCCGGAAUCACUGGGCGUAAAGGGCGUCUAGGCGGACGGGUAAGUCGUGCGUGAAAGCUUCCGGCUCAACCGGGAGAGGUCGUACGAUACUGCCUGUCUGGAGGGUCGGAGAGGGACGUGGAAUUCCCGGUGUAGGGGUGAAAUGCGUAGAGAUCGGGAGGAACACCAGUGGCGAGGGCGGCCCUCUGGCGCUUGACUGACGCUGAGGCGCGAAAGCGUGGGGAGCAAACAGGAUUAGAUCCCCCGGUAGU